rfam:Myotis brandtii contig284896, whole genome shotgun sequence.
GGUGGUUCUCGGGUGACACACCCCGGAAUCAGGCUCCCUCCUCUCUGGUUCUGGGUGCAUUACCUGAGAACCGCA